UACUCUAAUACUUAAUGUUUUUCUUCCCAACAAGCGGAAGAGUAACUCAACGAUUUUAAUAACAUAAUACGAGUGUUUGUUUUGUGCUCUUUUAAUAUCAAGCGAAGACAUCAACAGGCUUCAUAAACAAUCACCUGAUCACAAUGGAGGUUUACGCACUGAUUCAAUAAAAUUAACUUUGCACUCUAGUAGACGGCUGUAAGUUAAAGAUUUGAAUUAAUUAUCAAUUGACUAAACAUUAAACAUUGAUUGCUGAAAUGUCACGAAUAAAUGUUUUUAACUUAAAUUAUAGACCUUGUCCUUUUUACGCUGUGCAUAAAAAGGAUUACAGUUACUUAUGGACGUUAAAUUUAUACCACUAAUUGUUAAUGCAAACUACUCCAUUCAAAGCAUUUUUAUGGCAAACAAUAUCUAUGAUGGAAGAUAAUACGGUAAAAGAAAAAGAACGGUAUGAGAUCAAAAACAUGAAAUUUGCAUUUGGAUAAAACAUUGAUGAAAUGAAUGCUAAAGUUUAUA